UACGGAAGGCAGCAGUGGGGAAUAUUGCACAAUGGGCGAAAGCCUGAUGCAGCUAUGCCGCGUGUAUGAAGAAGGCCUUAGGGUUGUAAAGUACUUUCAUCGGGGAGGAAAAACAAAACUAAUAAUUUUAUUUCUUGACGUUACCCGAAAAAGAAGCACCGGCUAACUCCGUGCCAGCAGCCGCGGUAAUACGGAGGGUGCUAGCGUUAAUCAGAAUUACUGGGCGUAAAGAGCACGUAGGUGGUUUUUUUAAGUCAGAUGUGAAAUCCCCUGGGCUUAACCUAGGAACUGCAUUUUGAAACUGAAAUACUAGAGUAUCGUAGAGGGAGGUAGAAUUCUAGGUGUAGCGGUGAAAUGCGUAGAUAUCUGGAGGAUACCUGUGGCGAAAGCGGCCUCCUAAACGAAUACUGACACUGAGGUGCGAAAGCGUGGGGAGCAAACAGGGAUUAGAUAC
rnacentral:rRNA from 1 species